UAACACAUGCAAGUCGAGCGAGAAAGCUCUCUUCGGAGAGUGAGUAGAGCGGCGCACGGGUGAGUAACGCGUGGAUGAUCUACCCUGAAGAUCGGGAUAACAGUUGGAAACGACUGCUAAUACCGUAUAUCCUGCAUAUUUAACUUUAUGUGGUAAAGAUGGCCUCUAUUUAUAAGCUAUCGCUUUGGGAUGAGUCCGCGUCUCAUUAGAUAGUUGGUGGGGUAAUGGCCUACCAAGUCUACGAUGAGUAGCAGGUCUGAGAGGAUGAUCUGCCACACUGGGACUGAAACACGGCCCAGACUCCUACGGGAGGCAGCAGUGGGGAAUAUUGCGCAAUGGGGGAAACCCUGACGCAGCGACGCCGCGUGUAGGAAGAAGGCUUUCGGGUCGUAAACUACUGUCAAGAGGGAAGAAACUGUUUAGGUAUAAUACGCCUAUUCACUGACGGUACCUCUAGAGGAAGCACCGGCUAACUCCGUGCCAGCAGCCGCGGUAAUACGGAGGGUGCGAGCGUUAAUCGGAAUCACUGGGCGUAAAGCGUGCGUAGGCGGCGCAUCAAGUCAGACGUGAAAGCCCUCGGCUCAACCGAGGAAUUGCGUUUGAAACUGGUGUGCUAGAGUCUCGGAGAGGUUAGGGGAAUUCCAGGUGUAGGAGUGAAAUCCGUAGAUAUCUGGAGGAACACCGGUGGCGAAGGCGCCUAACUGGACGAGUACUGACGCUGAGGUACGAAAGCGUGGGGAGCAAACAGGAUUAGAUACCCUGGUAGUCCACGCCGUAAACGAUGGAUAUUAGGUGUCGGGGGUAACCCUUCGGUGCCGCAGUUAACGCGUUAAAUAUCCCGCCUGGGGAGUACGGUCGCAAGGCUGAAAACUCAAAGGAAUUGACGGGGGCCCGCACA
rnacentral:rRNA from 1 species